rnacentral:tRNA from 1 species
GGCUCAGUUGUUAGAGCAUGGUAUUUGCAAUGCCAGGGUUGUGGGUUCAAUUCCCAU